GGAGCUUGCUCCCUGAGAUUAGCGGCGGACGGGUGAGUAACACGUGGGCAACCUGCCUAUAAGACUGGGAUAACUUCGGGAAACCGGAGCUAAUACCGGAUACGUUCUUUUCUCGCAUGAGAGAAGAUGGAAAGACGGUUUCGGCUGUCACUUAUAGAUGGGCCCGCGGCGCAUUAGCUAGUUGGUGAGGUAAUGGCUCACCAAGGCGACGAUGCGUAGCCGACCUGAGAGGGUGAUCGGCCACACUGGGACUGAGACACGGCCCAGACUCCUACGGGAGGCAGCAGUAGGGAAUCUUCCGCAAUGGACGAAAGUCUGACGGAGCAACGCCGCGUGAACGAAGAAGGCCUUCGGGUCGUAAAGUUCUGUUGUUAGGGAAGAACAAGUACCAGAGUAACUGCUGGUACCUUGACGGUACCUAACCAGAAAGCCACGGCUAACUACGUGCCAGCAGCCGCGGUAAUACGUAGGUGGCAAGCGUUGUCCGGAAUUAUUGGGCGUAAAGCGCGCGCAGGUGGUUCCUUAAGUCUGAUGUGAAAGCCCACGGCUCAACCGUGGAGGGUCAUUGGAAACUGGGGAACUUGAGUGCAGAAGAGGAAAGUGGAAUUCCAAGUGUAGCGGUGAAAUGCGUAGAGAUUUGGAGGAACACCAGUGGCGAAGGCGACUUUCUGGUCUGUAACUGACACUGAGGCGCGAAAGCGUGGGGAGC
rnacentral:rRNA from 1 species